GGAAUCUUGGACACUGGGCGCAAGCCUGAUCCAGCCAUGCCGCGUGUGUGUCGAAGGCCUUAGGGUUGUAAAACUCUUUCAGCGGGGACGAUAAUGACGGUACUCGCAGAAGAAGCCCCGGCUAACUUCGUGCCAGCAGCCGCGGUAAUACGAAGGGGCCUAGCGUUGUUCGGACUUACUGGGCGUAAAGCGCCUGUAGGCGGGCCGUUAAGUCGGGGGUGAAAGCCCAGAGCUCAACUCUGGAAUUGCCUUCGAAACUGGCGGUCUUGAGCAGAAGAGAGGCGAGUGGAAUUCCGAGUGUAGAGGUGAAAUUCGUAGAUAUUCGGAGGAACACCAGUGGCGAAGGCGGCUCGCUGGCUUCUUGCUGACGCUGAGAUGCGAAAGCGUGGGGAGCAAAC
rnacentral:rRNA from 1 species